rnacentral:rRNA from 1 species
GCAGUCGAACGGUGAAGCUCCAGCUUGCUGGAGUGGAUCAGUGGCGAACGGGUGAGUAACACGUGAGCAACCUGCCCCAAACUCUGGAAUAAGCGCUGGAAACGGCGUCUAAUACUGGAUACGAGACCAACCUGCAUGGGUAUGGUUUGGAAAGUUUUUCGGUUUGGGAUGGGCUCGCGGCCUAUCAGCUUGUUGGUGAGGUAAUGGCUCACCAAGGCGACGACGGGUAGCCGGCCUGAGAGGGCGACCGGCCACACUGGGACUGAGACACGGCCCAGACUCCUACGGGAGGCAGCAGUGGGGAAUAUUGCACAAUGGGCGAAAGCCUGAUGCAGCGACGCCGCGUGAGGGAUGACGGCCUUCGGGUUGUAAACCUCUUUCAGCAGGGAAGAAGCGAAAGUGACGGUACCUGCAGAAGAAGCACCGGCUAACUACGUGCCAGCAGCCGCGGUAAUACGUAGGGUGCGAGCGUUGUCCGGAAUUAUUGGGCGUAAAGAGCUUGUAGGCGGUUUGUCGCGUCUGCUGUGAAAAUCCGGGGCUCAACCCCGGACUUGCAGUGGGUACGGGCAGACUAGAGUGUGGUAGGGGAGACUGGAAUUCCUGGUGUAGCGGUGAAAUGCGCAGAUAUCAGGAGGAACACCGAUGGCGAAGGCAGGUCUCUGGGCCACUACUGACGCUGAGAAGCGAAAGCAUGGGGAGCGAACAGGAUUAGAUACCCUGGUAGUCCAUGCCGUAAACGUUGGGAACUAGGUGUGGGUCUCAUUCCACGAGAUCCGUGCCGCAGCUAACGCAUUAAGUUCCCCGCCUGGGGAGUACGGCCGCAAGGCUAAAACUCAAAGGAAUUGACGGGGGCCCGCACAAGCGGCGGAGCAUGCGGAUUAAUUCGAUGCAACGCGAAGAACCUUACCAAGGCUUGACAUAUACCGGAAACUUCCAGAGAUGGUUGCCCCUUUUAGGUCGGUAUACAGGUGGUGCAUGGUUGUCGUCAGCUCGUGUCGUGAGAUGUUGGGUUAAGUCCCGCAACGA